rnacentral:rRNA from 1 species
UACGUAGGGGGCAAGCGUUGUCCGGAAUUAUUGGGCGUAAAGAGCGUGUAGGCGGCCAGACAGGUCCGUUGUGAAAACUCGAGGCUCAACCUCGAGAUGUCGAUGGAAACCGUCUGGCUAGAGUCCGGAAGAGGAGUGUGGAACUCCUGGUGUAGCGGUGAAAUGCGCAGAUAUCAGGAAGAACACCUAUGGCGAAGGCAGCACUCUGGGACGGUACUGACGCUGAGACGCGAAAGCGUGGGGAGCGAACAGG